rnacentral:rRNA from 1 species
AUUGAACGCUGGCGGCAUGCUUUACACAUGCAAGUCGAACGGCAGCGGGGAGGAGCUUGCUUCUCUGCCGGCGAGUGGCGAACGGGUGAGUAAUACAUCGGAACGUGUCGAGAAGAGGGGGAUAACCACCCGAAAGGGUGGCUAAUACCGCAUAAAUCCUGAGGAAGAAAGCUGGGGACCUAGGAAUAGGCCUAGCGCUUUUUGAGCGGCCGAUGUCGGAUUAGCUAGUUGGUGAGGUAAAGGCUCACCAAGGCGAAGAUCUGUAGCGGGUCUGAGAGGAUGAUCCGCCACACUGGGACUGAGACACGGCCCAGACUCCUACGGGAGGCAGCAGUGGGGAAUUUUGGACAAUGGGGGCAACCCUGAUCCAGCCAUGCCGCGUGUAUGAAGAAGGCCUUAGGGUUGUAAAGUACUUUUGUUAGGGAAGAAAAGUCAGCUGUGAAUAAUGGCUGAUACUGACGGUACCUAAAGAAUAAGCACCGGCUAACUACGU